rfam:Winogradskyella jejuensis strain DSM 25330 genome assembly, contig: Ga0131247_103
AUUUGUUCGCGUUAGGGAUAAUAGUGGAAAUCCUUUUGCUUUUUAAAAGCAAAAGAUUGUUGUGAAUAGCCCGACCCGAU